GCGCCCGUCGUCUAGCGGUCCAGGACAACGCCCUCUCACGGCGUAGAUCACGGGUUCGAAUCCCGUCGGGCGUACCA
rnacentral:tRNA from 1 species